rnacentral:rRNA from 1 species
GACGAACGCUGGCGGCGUGCUUAACACAUGCAAGUCGAGCGGAGCGUCGAGCGGGUGAGUAACGCGAGGGUCACUGCCCCGCUCGCUGGGAUAACAGUUGGAAACGGCUGCUCAUACAAGCAAGUGGGGGAUGACUCGUGUCUUACCAGCUUGUGGGUGGGGUAGGGGCCGACCAAGUCGACGACGAGUAGACGGCCUGAGCGGGCGACCGGCGACAUUGGGCUGAGAGACUGCCCGAACACGUACGGGAGGCAGCAGUGGGAAAUAUGUCACAAGGGGGGAAACCCUGAAGAAGAAACGCCGCGUGCGAGGUGACGGCCUUCGUGGUGUAAACCUCUUUCAGCCAGGACGGGGGAGUGGGAUAAGAAUCAGCGGCAAACUACGUGCCAGCAGCCGCGGUAAUAC